UGCCAACUGUGUCAAAUCUGGGUUUGUGCUAACAAGGUCUGUAUCAGUGCCAUUGUACUGACCACCAAUCAAAGGGUUCACACAAAAAGGAACACAGAAUUGAGUCCUUGGGACCACUGUGCAGAGCCCACAACACAAAAACUUCCAGAGGAAGGUUGCAGCCACUGAGUGGGAUCUGAGUUCCUAAUAGAAGCUGUGGUACAGAACACAUCUGGCUGUCCAUCGUGGACCUGAGGUGCUAAAUGGGAAACAUUCGAACGUGAAACAGCAUCAAGCUCUCCUGACAUCGGAAGAAAGGGAACUGUGGCAAGGGUCGCAAGGUGGACUUAAGCACGUGACAAGAACAACUAAUCCUGGAACCUGUUUUAUUAGAUGACAAGGACCUGACCCUGGUUGCAGCACUGGGGAGAGACUGGAGUUCUGGGUAGCCUGAUUCUGAAAUUUCCCUUCACCCACGGUACCAACAGUGCUUCCUAUGGAGAACUUGGAUCUGCACGCUGAAUGCAUAGCCUGGACUGAUGACCAUUUCCGUUGGAGGAUUCUCUCUCUCUGAGGAGGUGCGCUCUACCUCACCCUGCUGCCCUCUAACUGCUCCAUAUUGACAAUUUGCAUUUU